CAUAACUGCAUCAGAUUCAAAUUUACAAAAUAAACAUACACUUAAUUUCUGUUACGCUCAAUUUCUCUUACACACGCUUAGCAGCAGAGAAACAUAUCCGAUUAAGAAAUGGUAAUUUGAUUUUUUUUUUCCCUCAAUUUUUGAAUUUUCCUCUGAAUCUGUAUCUAGAUGAUUUCGAUUUACCGUGAAUCUUAUCUUUACUCAAUUAGAUCUUAGGGUUUGGUUUACUUUUCACGUUUUAUAAUCAUGUAUGAGCAUUUUGAUCCCUUUUUUCACAUAAUAUUCUCAUAUUAGACGAGAUUUUCUUUAUUUAUUGAUUUUCGCAAUGCUAAAAAAGAACAAAAACAUGUUGUCUAUGGUUUGAAUCAUUUCUGUUACAUAGCUCUUCAGUUUCUUUUGGUUUAAAUUAAGCGUGAAUUGACCUUGAACUUGAGUUUCUUAUUUCAUAUGAUUUCAUGAAUGGUUCUUUUUAGGGAAAAAAAAGGGUAAGUUUUUGAGGAAGUGAAAUAGAGUUUAACUCAAAUGGAAUUUGUGUCAUGAAAAGUUGAACGUCAUGCAAUUUAAAAAUGCUUUGGCUAUAAAUAGAGGUAUAUAUUGCUUCUCGUGGCUUAUUUCUUGUAUUACUUGUUCACUGGCUACCACAGCUUUACUGCUACAAAUUGGGGGAUUAUAAUGAAGUAGCUAAGGCUUAUGAUUUAGGCAAUGUUGGAGUAAACUUUGUUGUACUUCAUUUUCAUGAUAUGUACAUGGUAGUUUGAAAUUUGAAGAAUGUUUAUUUAAUUUUAUACUAUUGCUUCGCAUUAUGGCCCUGUUUGGGCCCGAUUUUUUCCUCCAAAAAAUUGAUUUUUUGACCGUUAUUUCACUAUUCCAGCCGUCAUAUUUGACUUCUUCUAUCACGGGUGGACCCCACUUUUCUUCUAACGGUCAAAAAAUCAAUUCUCAAAAUCACUCCCAAACAACCUCUAUAUCAGAACUAAAAUUUUAAAGAGAUUUAAAGUAUUAUGUUUAAUGCUUGUUAGUUGAAUGAAGAUUUUAUAUAAUGUUUGGGGAAUCUGAAGCAUAACUUUGGUGAAAGCAAUAGCAAAAGGAUUACCAGGUGGAUUUGCAGGAGGUUUUAUUUAUGUUGUCGAAAGCAUCUAAGAAUUUUAUCCUGAAAUAUUGCAGUAUUUUAAUGAUCAUCGGAUGGUGGUAGCUUGCCCAUGCAGCAAAUCUAGGAUCUAAUAAUGGAAUCUAUUAAGUGAAAGACUUCAUUUUGAGAACAUAUCCCAUGCUUAAGAGGACCUGGGUGCUAUUUUUGUUUGUUAGCAAAUGGUUGCAAACUUGCAGUUUGUCCUUUUGGGCGGUUAGAGCCGUGUUUCAGAGUAGUCUAUGUUGGUAGAAUAUUUCCUUCCUUCUCUGUUCAGUUUAUAUGUUUAUUUGGUAUUCUCUCUCCACCCUACUACUAUCUGUUCUGAUGUCAAAUCGUUGUUAUAUUUCAAUGUUAUCUCAAUCUGGUUGGUUUGACUGAUACUUUCUGUUUCAAUAUUUUGCACGAGAAGUAGAAGUUUGCAUGGUAAGCUGUCUAUGCCUAUAAUUAUGAAGUAUCUUUGAUUCUUUCUUUACUUGCAGGAUGGGCAUGACUCUGAGAAUUCAAAACAAAGUACUGCUGACAUGACUGUUUUUGUAAGUUCUAUAAGCUCUGUGAAGUUGCCAGAUAACUUGUUCUUUGGUAUUUAUUUUUUUUAUCUCAGUGGAUUAGCUAUGUAUUUCUGCUCUAUAAUAGCAUCUACUUAGUUGAAUAUGGCAAUGGGGAUGUUUAAGGAUGAGAUGCUGCAAGAUAGAUUUGGAAUUGAAAGAUCUCGCUCUCAUUCUUAACUGCUUCUGCAAAGCAUUACAGUGGUUUUGUCAGUAUAAAUAUUCUAUUAUAUACACCCAAGCACAAACGAAAGCGUACUUGGGAAGGCCAGUGACUGCAAGAGGGAAAAGCUAACAUAUUUGAUUCACAGGAUUUAUGUGGAUUCAAUUUCUCUAGUGUCAGCGAAGCCUCUACAGGCUACUAGAUAUUAUAUAAAUAAUUGAAUUUAAAGGGACUUAUGCAGGAUUAGAAAAUUUCACAGGCUUAAAUGUCCGUAUUACAUGAGAUUCUGCUUUUUUGAAUUUCGACAUGAUAUACUUUUAAUAUGUUCUAACUUGUUAUUUUACGUUUUCAGGUGCAAAACCUCCUCCAACAAAUGGUGAGUUAUUAGCAUAUCAAGUUGAAUUCUGCAUUACAGAACAUUAACAUACAAGUAUUUUUAUUUUUGCAGCAAACCAGGUUUCAGGCUAUGUCUGAGUCCAUCAUCAGUAAAAAUAUCCUUUUAAAGCUCUUUUACUCUAUAUUGCAUUCUUUUUUAUAAAUAAUACCACUGUUACUAUUGUUUGGGAUAAUAUGGGGGAACAAAAAUUACAGCAGUCAACAAUUGAGUACAUGCCACCAUUAAAAAGUACUACCACAUGAUGUUUUUUAUGCUAAUCACACUGAAACAUUCCCAUAAUAAUAAACAAAUUAAUGUCCACAUGAUUUAUCUUUAUCAGGUGAUUGAUACGUAUAAGCUCACUAAUUCCUUAACUUCGUCUUACUUGAUGAGAUGGGGAACAGGAUCGAUGAAUUGGAGCAGAGUAUCAAUGACCUUAAAGCUGAAAUGGGUCAAGAGGGGUCUCCGUCCCCUUCAGCUUCUCUGAAAGCAAGAGAAGAUUCCAAGUCAGCUGACGAUUCUGCUUAAAACAUGCCUCAUAUAUUGUAUUGGCUUGUCUGGUUUGUGUUACUUUUUAUGAUUUGAGAUAUAAUGCUUCUAUUUUACCCUUGACCACUGUAUGAAUCUCAUUUUACAGCUCCAAUUAUUUAUCCUGGAGUCAUUUGAAAACACUCUAGUUCGAUUUUUUUAUGUACAUUUUGUUUGCUUCUUUCGUUUGUAUGUUUCCGAGCAGCCUGCCUUUUUUGAUCUUGAGUUCACUUACCUUGUGUCGAAUCUGAAUAACUUUUUGGAAUUUCGAGGCUUCAUAGCUAUGUUUCAAGGCUUCAUAUUUAUUUUUUACCUUUUUUUUGUGUGAGACAAAAUUCACAGUAAACUUGAUGAAUAAUGAAGAGGAUUGACAACGAAGUUCAUUGACAACGUUGGAAUCUUUCAAAUGGGAGACAAGAUAAUAGUAAAAAGAAAG
rnacentral:lncRNA from 1 species